AUGAUCGGGGACAGGUUUCAGAGGAGGGAGGAGUUCUUGCAGGUCCUCCAGGAGGGGGUCAAGCUCGUCACCGGGUCCAUCCUCAACGACCUGUUCCCUUCGUCGUGGCUUGCCAACUUCAUAAGCGGCACAGUGCGGAUGGCCGAGGAGGUCCACCGGAAGAGCUUCGAGCUCAUGGAGUAUGCCAUCAAACAACACGAGGAAAAGAGGGCCGUGGGGGAUGGAGAGGACCUGGUGGACGUGCUCUUGAGGAUACAGAAGGAAGGUGGCCUCGAGGUGCCUCUCACCAUGGGAAUCAUCAAAGCAAGUAUCCUGGACCUCUUUAGUGCCGGGAGUGAGACGUCAGCAACGACACUUCAAUGGGCCAUGUCGGAGCUCAUGAGGUACCCAAACAUGAUGCAGAAAGCACAGGCCGAAGUACGCGAUUGCCUUAGAGAAAAGCACACAGUGACUGAGGAUGACUUGGCGGACCUAAAAUACCUCAGACUCGUCAUCAAGGAGACACUAAGGUUGCAUCCACCGGCCCCGCUGCUUAUUCCACGGGAGGCCAUGAAGUCCUGCAAAAUCCUCGGGUACGACGUGCCAAAGGGCACAAACGUGCUUGUGAAUGCAUGGGCGAUCGGUAGGGACCCUAAGCACUGGGAUAACCCUGAGGAAUUUAAGCCAGAGAGGUUCGAGUCUGGCAUCGUCGACUUCAAAGGCACGGACUUUGAGUACAUACCGUUUGGGGCGGGGAGAAGGAUGUGUCCUGGUAUGAUGUUUGAAUAG
rnacentral:rRNA from 1 species